rnacentral:rRNA from 1 species
AUUGAACGCUGGCGGCAGGCCUAACACAUGCAAGUCGAACGAGUGGCGGACGGGUGAGUAAUGUCUGGGAAACUGCCUUAUGGAGGGGGAUAACUACUGGAAACGGUAGCUACUACCGCAUACCCUCAGAUGUGCCCAGAUGGGAUUAGCUUGGUGGUGGGGUAACGGCGCACCAAGGAGACGAUCCCUAGCUGGUCUGAGAGGAUGACCGGCCACACUGGAACUGAGACGCGGACCAGACUCCUACGGGAGGCAGCAGUGGGGAAUAUUGCACAAUGGGGGCGAACCUGAUGCAGCGGUGCCGCGUGUGUGAAGAAGGCCUUCGGGUUGUAAAGUACUUUCAGCGGGGAGGCGUGACCCGCAGAAGAAGCACCGGCUAACUCCGUGCCAGCAGCCGCGGUAAUAC